rnacentral:rRNA from 1 species
AGUUGCGCCGUUCUCCACGAUUCUCACACCUGUGCAUGCGGUCGGAGUAGCCUCCCGUCUCUCGCCAAGCGAGUCUGCGGGGGGGAUGUCCGGCCCGUAUUUACCAACUCAACGGUCCUAUGGAUGUUGCAAAAAAAGUCUCGAAAGAGCAAUAGAAAGAAAACUUUCGACAACGGAUCUCUUGGUUCUCCCAUCGAUGAAGAACGCAGCGAAAUGCGAUACGUAAUGUGAAUUGCAGAAUUCAGUGAAUCAUCGAAUCUUUGAACGCACCUUGCGCUCUUGGGUAUUCCCAAGAGCAUGCCUGUUUGAGUGUCAUGAAUCCUCAUCCCACGCGACUUUUUUGCGAAAGCGGCGCGCGGAUGGAUCUGAGCGACUGCCGGCGGCCCCGUGCCGUCUGGCUCGCUUGAAAGAGUGGAGCCUCUGUGCUCUUUCGCCCGGUUUCGAUGGCGCACGCGCCGCAUUCGGGACACGA